GGGGUGCGGGGGGAGGAGGUCAGACUCAGCUGGCUUCUCAUUUGUUUUCCAAAGGAGAAAAUGGAAAAGGCACAAAGUGCUGCCAACAAAUGCUACUCUGUUGUCCCGGAGAGAGAGAGGGAUAGAGGUGGUCACCUGGGCUGGGGACAAGAGAGCCACCCGGAAAACCUCUCCCAACUCUCACCUGGAGAAUCACCCCACAGAAGCAUCAGAGCCCAAAGGAUUUUUGAAUGGGAGGUGGAGGAAAUUUCUUCCUGAGAUGGGGAAACCGAGGCACAGAUGUGGUCUUCCUGGAGGUCGGGAAGCCAUCAGUGGAGAGUGGUCUCUGGCUCUACCCCUCUACCCAUCUUUGUCCAGGGCCCCUGCCCACUGUUAAUGUUCUGGUAUAUUUCCCUCCAGGCUUUUUCUCCACGUGUGUGUGUGUGUGUG
rnacentral:lncRNA from 1 species